UCACUAUGGCAGCUGAUAUACUAAAAUUGGAAAAAUACAGAGAUUAGCAUGGCCCCUGCACAAGGAUGACAUGCAAAUUCAUGAUGCAUUCCAUAUUUUU
rnacentral:snRNA from 1 species